AUUGAACGCUGGCGGCAUGCCUUACACAUGCAAGUCGAACGGCAGCACGGGUGCUUGCACCUGGUGGCGAGUGGCGAACGGGUGAGUAAUACAUCGGAACAUGUCCUGUAGUGGGGGAUAGCCCGGCGAAAGCCGGAUUAAUACCGCAUACGAUCCACGGAUGAAAGCGGGGGACCUUCGGGCCUCGCGCUAUAGGGUUGGCCGAUGGCUGAUUAGCUAGUUGGUGGGGUAAAGGCCUAUCAAGGCGACGAUCAGUAGCUGGUCUGAGAGGACGACCAGCCACACUGGGACUGAGACACGGCCCAGACUCCUACGGGAGGCAGCAGUGGGGAAUUUUGGACAAUGGGCGAAAGCCUGAUCCAGCAAUGCCGCGUGUGUGAAGAAGGCCUUCGGGUUGUAAAGCACUUUUGUCCGGAAAGAAAUCCUUGGCUCUAAUACAGUCGGGGGAUGACGGUACCGGAAGAAUAAGCACCGGCUAACUACGUG
rnacentral:rRNA from 1 species